GUGCCUGUAGCUCAAUGGCUAGGGCACCAGCCAUGUACACUGGAGCUGGCAGGUUCAAAUCCAGCCCAGGCCU
rnacentral:tRNA from 1 species